AACGCGAAGAACCUUACCUACCCUUGACAUCCAAAGAAGACUGCAGAGAUGUGGUUGUGCCGAAAGGAACUUUGAGACAGGUGCUGCAUGGCUGUCGUCAGCUCGUGUUGUGAGAUGUUGGGUUAAGUCCCGUAACGAGCGCAACCCUUAUCCUUAGUUGCCAGCAUUAAGUUGGGGACUCUAAGGAGACUGCCGGUGAUGAACCGGAGGAAGGCGGGGACGACGUCAAGUCAUCAUGGCCUUUAUGGGUAGGGCUACACACGUGCUACAAUGGGCGGUACAGAGGGCAGCAAGCGUGCGAGCGCAAGCGAAUCCCUUAAAGCCGUUCGUAGUCCGGAUCGGAGUCUGCAACUCGACUCCGUGAAGUCGGAAUCGCUAGUAAUCGCGAAUCAGAAUGUCGCGGUGAAUACGUUCCCGGGCCUUGUACACACCGAUACUC
rnacentral:rRNA from 1 species